UGGGUUUUCUUUUGUGAGAACCACCAACUGCUACACGUUAUGUUCUAUGAUACAUCAUUGCUACGUGUUAUAUGUUCAUCUCCCACCUCCCACUGCUGCCAAUUACAAAUCGAAACAUCAAAUGAUAUACCACCCUGAAUACGCAUUCUUUCCGCCACCGACUCAUCUAACUUAUCUCUCCAAAACCUCCCGUCUAUCUCUAAACUCAUCGACAUCCAACAUGAAUCAGUCCUCCACUGUUUGUCGUGCGUUUGCCUCACCUGUUUCGCCUCUGCUUCUCCUUUACUUCUCAUCUAUAUUCUUUAUUUUUUUUUUUUUCAUAAUUUCUCCCGACAGCACAAUUCGUAAACUUGAAGGAAAACCCAUGUUUGGUGUUGAGGGUGUGCGACAGUGGUGGUUUAGCUGAUGAUAAUGAUGAGCAAGGUGGUUGGUUCCUUUGUGUUUCCAUCUUCCUCUCUCAGUUAGCUUAUCGAUUGAAGCAGAAAUUCUUAUAUGGAUUUAUAUUGUGGAGAUUUAAAUUGAAGACAAUCUAUAAAGAAAUUAAACAUAAUUUAUGGUGUUGAAAAGUGAUCUAUCCUUUAAUCACGUGUUCUUCUCUGCUUCUUCCAGAUCUUGGACCCAUCGAUUCAACCCACCGCAUGCAUGUUUACUCCACCACCAUAAGAGUUAUUCAAGGUUUUCAUUGGGCUAACUGCUACCUCUCAUGGUCUCCGAUUCAAUCUCUCAUGUGCCCCUACCAGAGACAUCCUCGAUUUUGUGUCUUCUCCCUCCGAUAACUCCUUCCGUUUCGAAGGAGGAGUUUAUUUUCUUCAUCAAUUCCGUCCCCUCGAUUUCGUCUCCUUCCUGCUUUCGGUUGUUGAUGAGGGUGAUCAUGCUUUCAUCGACAAUAAUUCUAGCCUACAAAAGGCACUUAUUUCCACACCCGUCUGCUACUAAUGGGUUCUGUCAAUUUCGAUAGCAAAAUUUUGAUUUCCCUAUAUGCAUAGAAUGAAUUAUUACAUGGAUUUAAGCUAUCAGUUACAUGAUUGAGUUUUUAGAGAUGCAAAUUCACAUCUUCCAAUUUUAUAUCAGUGUGCUUUAGUAGGGAUUGAUGUUUUGAUUAUUGAGUUUGUUUAUGUGGUUGUGUUUGUGAUUUUAGGGAAAAUUGGUGAAGGGUUUUCGCAUUAGGUUUAUUCUCCAAUUGAAGCAAGGCGCAUUUGGAACCGCCGAUGAGCGAGAUGAUCGGAGGUGGUGGUGUUUCGGCAGAGCAUAAUGCGAUUCCAUGGAUGAAAAUUCGAUUUUCUCUUCUUUUAUCAAGGGGAAUUCUGUUCGCUGUUCCGUUCAUAUCACGAAGGUGGAUUGUUCAUCGACUUAAUCGAUUGUCAUCAGUAGAUGAUGAGGUGUUCCACUUAUGCUAAUGUUCUGACUCCAGGACUACGAAUGCAAAAACGUUGAUGAACAGCCAGUGAAGAGAAAACUUUGGAACAAGCUAAAAUAAAGUUACAUCUAACAAAUCAUCCAGCCCUGGUCAUGCAUCUACAAUCAACAUUCUUCUUUACACUCCUAUAUCUGCAAAAGGUGGAAAAGUCAAUAGUAGGUCAAAGGGUACAAAAAGCAACAAACCCAUUCCUCAAUCCCCUCUUCACAUUUCAGGAUCACCUUCUCCAACUACUCGAUAUGCCAACUCGCUUGCUAACUUUUAAUUUCUACAUUUUAUAUUACUUUUAAAUAUAAAGAAAGCAGUUAUAUUGAUGGAAAAUUCUAAAGUUUUUGCGUCUUUUAACAAAGAAAUUCAUCAGUCUCAUUACAUAUGCUGAAGAUUUGGAAGAUGGUGUUACUCUAUAUUACAGGUAUAUCAGAUAGUUAUUGUAAUUUUUUGAUUAUAUUGGUGUUUUAUAAUAUAUCAUUUAGUGUUUGUAGUUUGCUCUUCAAACUAAUUGUCAUGGGUUUAAAUUGAUUCUUUGUAUAAUUAGCAACAUUU